GGGGAAUCUUGCACAAUGGGCGGAAGCCUGAUGCAGCAACGCCGCGUGAGUGAAGACGGCCUUCGGGUUGUAAAACUCUGUCAGGAGGGGCGAAAAAAAUGACGGUACCUCCAGAGGAAGCCCCGGCUAACUACGUGCCAGCAGCCGCGGUAACACGUAGGGGGCCAGCGUUGUCCGGAAUUACUGGGCGUAAAGGGCGUGUAGGCGGCCUAGCAAGUCAGCUGUGAAACCCCCGGGCUCAACCUGGGGCUUGCAGUUGAAACUGCCUGGCUUGAGUGCAGGAGAGGAGAGUGGAAUUCCUAGUGUAGCGGUGAUAUGCGUAGAUAUUAGGAGGAACACCAGUGGCGAAGGCGGCUCUCUGGACUGCAACUGACGCUGAGGCGCGAAAGCGUGGGGAGCAAAC
rnacentral:rRNA from 1 species